GGAAACCCCAUUUGUGAGUUUGAACUAAAGUUGUUUUUCGUUGUUGUUGUUGUGGGAUUUCGUAGAAAUGGAGUUAGGGCUGGUCACCCUGUUGAGAGCUGCAUGGGUUGCUGCGAUAUUGCCCGUUGUUAUCGCUUUGAUUCCUUCAUCCAAGAUCAGUUUUUUUCAAAAAUUCGUGUUAGGGUUUGCUAAGCGUGGCAAGAUUAUGCAGUCUUCAUCAAAUAAAUUGUCUGUUCCACAGGAACUCUUCAUUCACUUCUAUAUUCUAGCUUUUGUUUGGACAACACUUCUGUUAGUUGCAACUUGGCUUUAUGAUUAUUGUACAAUGCCAAAGAUCACAGAACCAUUGCUUUUUUCUAGUAUUGCUAGCCACUUGACGGGAGGAUCGCGUAUCUUCUCUUCGCACAGUUCUCAUACAUCAAAGGAACAUAGAAGCAGGAUUGCUGUAUCGAUCUUUCUUCUUUUAUUAAUGGAAGCUCAAGUACUGCGACGCCUGUUUGAGUCAAUAUACGUGUUCAAAUAUAGUCCUUCAGCCAGGAUGCACAUUUUAGGCUACCUCACAGGUUUAUUUUUCUAUACAGCAGUUCCCAUCUCUCUUUGCUGCAAUCAUGCUACAGAGGUAUACAAGUUCGGGUUGAGUUUGAUUCAAGAGUUUAUUGUCAAAGGAAAAGAUAGGAUGCUAGCAACUGAGGUUGAUUGGUGGAGAUUUUUGAACCCUCUCAUUCAACUACAAUGGUACUCAUGGAUUGGUGCAGCUAUAUUUUUUUGGGGCUGGAUUCAUCAACACCGUUGUCAUGCAAUUCUGGGAUCAUUGAGGGAAAACAGAAAAGACAAUGAUGAAUAUGCAGUUCCUUAUGGUGAUUGGUUUCAAUAUGUUUCAUCUCCACACUAUUUGGCUGAGAUUGUUGUAUAUGCUGGCUUUGUGGUUGCUAGUGGAUGUUCGGACCUCACUAUAUGGCUACUCUGGGGAUUCACGGUGGCAAAUCUUGUCUUAGCAGCAGCAGAAACACACAGAUGGUAUUUGCACAAGUUUGACAACUAUCCUAGGAAUCGUUUUGCUAUUUUUCCAUAUGUUUAUUGAUGCUCAAUGACCAAGUUCUGCUAUAUAUUUCUUUGAGCGGAUUUGUGUAUGUAUAUAUAGGUUCUGCAAGCUCGAUGUGAAAUUGUUUCUUAGGUUAGCCUAAAAACUGUGAUCUAACCAUGGAUACAACUCUAUGGAUCUGAAUAUGCCCAACUGUUGUUUUAGUGAGUACUUCUGGUCUUUGCCUUUUGUUUUU
rnacentral:misc_RNA from 1 species